rnacentral:tRNA from 1 species
GCCCAUGUAGCUCAGUCGGUAGAGCACAUUCUUGGUAAGAAUGAGGUCAUCAGUUCGAUCCUGAUCAUGGGCU